UUUUUCAUUUCUGUCAGGUUUGAACAACUGCUAUUGCACGCACAUCACAGUGGCGAGCAAGAUGAAUAAUUAAUGAUUCGUUAAGGCAUUAUCAAUCAAAUCUGAAGAAGAAAAAGAACAGCCAAACAUAACUGGAUUUAGUACAUCAAUAGCUAUCCUCUUUUCAAAUAAUAUACGUAUUUAUCAAAACAAUACACUGCAGCAAACUUAUCAGCAACGUACUUACUGCAAUGCACUUUCUUCAAAUAAGCAAUAUUUCCAAGAAAUUUUUACAAAAAGUGCGGCGUCUCCUGGCCAGUUAACAUUCGAAACAUAGAUGUUCGCAUUGUUUUCAUAUGUAUUUCGCCUACAGCUGUGGCCAACAUGGUUACCACUUUUUCAUGUGGAACAGCCACUGCACUUUGACCAUUGAUCUCAAUAAUGCGAUGGCCAACACGUAUACCACCCCUUUCAGCAAUGCCACCCCGAAGCAAACUGCAAAUUACACCAUUUUGCACGCUAAAACCAAGCUGAUAUUUCGUGUCCGGACGUUUGAUACGAACUUCUACAACUGGUGGCGUUUGAACAAUGGUAAUUUUGACGGCUGUCAGUGAACGAGCAUCCUUGAUAUGAUUCUGGCAUAUAUUCAAAGGCAAACCGACAAACGAGAUUCCAUUCAACGCGAUGAUGUGGUCUCCGAUGUUAAUCUUUUUACAUCUAGCUGCUGCACCUUCUGGCAACAUGUUCGCAAUCACCACCGUCGGCAACAUGCUUCCCCAUCCGGACUCAACAACUGCUACACCCAAAGGCUCGUCUUUCCGUUUCGGUAUAACAAUAUCUUUCUGAGUCUCUCUGUUAGAAAACAUUUCCAACUCAUCGCAAUAAAUUUCUUGGGAAUUCAAAACUUGCUGGUAAUCAAGCUCUUUGACAUAAGUCGGAUCGUCAAUUCCUCGAGAACGCAAAAAUUCCAUAUAUGCAACUUGAAAAGCUUGACCAAUCGACUGAGCUAUAAACUGCGCCUCUUCCGAUUCGAACACAUGACAAAUCAUCUUCGGCACUGCCAGAAUACCAUGUGAAGCAGUGAACCAAAAGUCAGGUUAAGGUGCCAGACAUUGGCGCUCAUGAAAUACCAGAAAAGGUGUUGGUCGAUAUAGACAGCAGGACGGUGGCCAUGGAAGUUGGAAUCCGCCAAGGAGUGUGUAACAACUCACCUGCCGAAUCGACUAGCCCUGAAAAUGGAUAGCGUUUGAGCGCCAGGCCCAUACCUGACCGUCUCAAUUACGCACUUUUUUUCGGAAAAGGUGUAAUGAACGUUGAGACGGGUAGGAAGGUCGCGACAGUGUUGCUUUGAAGAGUUUUGAGCGUGAGCUCGCUCGGAGCCGCUGUUGGUGCAGAUCUUGGUGGUAGUAGCAAAUAUUCAAGUGAGAACCUUGAAGGCUGAAGUGGAGCAAGGUUCCAUGUGAACAGCAGUUGGACAUGGGUCAGUCGAUCCUAAGAAAACGGCGAAAGCUUGUUCGAAUUUGCGACAUGAAUUGUAAGACUGUGUGUGUUUAUUGUGUGUGCAGUUGUCGUAUGUUUUCGAAAGGGAAUCCGGUUGAUAUUCCGGAACCGAGUAACGGAGACAAAGAGUAGCGCUUUAAUCUCUCUGUGGGGUUGGCGUUCAACUCAAUCGCGCGGUAACGCAAGCGAACUCGGAAAAUGACCGUCGUGAGUUUCGAAAAGAGUUUUCUUUUCUUUUUAAGGGACGCAUUCCCUGGAACCGGGUUGUCCGGAGAUAGGGAUUCUGGUAUCCAUAAAACGCCGACUUUUUCACGGUGUUCGGAGCGCUCUCGUCGGUACGUGAAAAUCCGAGCGACGCCUGGUAAAUCUCGUACUUGGUCGUACUGAUAUCCGCAGCAGGUCUCCAAGGUGAAUAGCCUCUGGCCGAUAGAAUAAUGUAGGUAAGGGAAGUCGGCAAAACGGAUCCGUAACUUCGGAACAAGGAUUGGCUCUAAGGGCUGGGCCGAUCGGGCUGAGGUUUCAAGCGUGCAGUGUAUGCUUGGCUGAGUUGUGUUGAGGACUUGUUCACUUGCCGCCGUUUGUUCGGUUGGUCUAGUGUAUUCGAGUCUGAAGCAGAGCUGGCCGACAGACCGGCACGUGCAGAACCUGAGCUGCGCGGCUGUCCGUUUACGUGUACAGACCGUUUCGGUCGGCAUUCAACAGCCAACUUAGAACUGGCACGGACACAAGGAAUCUGACUGUAUAAUUAAAACAAAGCAUUGCGAUGGCCGAUGAUCGGUGAUGACGCAAUGUGAUUUCUGCCCAGUGCUCUGAAUGUCAAAGUGAAGAAAUUCAAUCAAGCGCGGGUAAACGGCGGGAGUAACUAUGACUCUCUUAAGGUAGCCAAAUGCCUCGUCAUCUAAUUAGUGACGCGUAUGAAUGGAUCAACAAGAUUCCUUCUGUCCCUAUCUACUAUCUAGCGAAACCACAGCCAAGGGAACGGGCUUGGCAAAAUCAGCGGGGAAAGAAGACCCUGUUGAGCUUGACUCUAGUCUGACUCUGUGAAGAGACAUGAAAGGUGUAGCAUAGGGGGAGAUUGUCAAAUUGCCAUCGUUCGCGCGGUGGUCCGGUGAUCGCCAAUGAAAUACCACUACUUUGAUCGUUUCUUUACUUAUUCGGUAAAGCGAAAAAAUUGUGGCCAAUUUGGCGGUGUUUAUGUCGCUGUUGGUCAUUGUUUUCAUGUUAGAUUGAAGCUUUGUUUACAGCCGUCGCUUUGUGUCGCCAUUUGACGCAUUGUUGUACUGGGUUAUCCGUUGCCCAGUUCUUUCCCAUCUGAUAUUGCCAGACAUCGUGGAAAUACCAACCAAACGGAAUCAGAUCAGACCAAUAAAUUCCAUCUCCUCGAUCUUUCAUCCAAUCUUGAGAGACUCUAAUUUGUAGCAGACCGCCGGUAUAUUUGCGCCACGCAUCAGGUUUCAUGUCUGUCUUGCUCAUGGUACGUGGAUUGAAUGAAAAUACGCCUCUGUUUGGAGAAUUUCUAGCAAUCGAGCCAACCUGUUCAAAGCUGUGACCAAGUACAUCUUCCCAAUAACCCCACAAUGGCGAUAGGUUUGAAGUGAUUCGCUCCGGAAACAGUGUCAGACGGGGAGUUUGACUGGGGCGGUACAUCUGUUAAACGAUAACGCAGGUGUCCUAAGGUAAGCUCAGCGAGGACAGAAACCUCGCUUAGAGUAAACGGGCACAAGCUUACUUGAUUUUGAUUUCCAGUACGAAUAGAA
rnacentral:rRNA from 1 species